AUUGAACGCUGGCGGCAUGCUUUACACAUGCAAGUCGAACGGCAGCGCGGGGCAACCUGGCGGCGAGUGGCGAACGGGUGAGUAAUACAUCGGAACGUACCCAGAAGUGGGGGAUAACGUAGCGAAAGUUACGCUAAUACCGCAUACGUUCUACGGAAGAAAGUGGGGGAUCUUCGGACCUCAUGCUUUUGGAGCGGCCGAUGUCUGAUUAGCUAGUUGGUGAGGUAAAGGCUCACCAAGGCGACGAUCAGUAGCUGGUCUGAGAGGACGACCAGCCACACUGGGACUGAGACACGGCCCAGACUCCUACGGGAGGCAGCAGUGGGGAAUUUUGGACAAUGGGCGCAAGCCUGAUCCAGCAAUGCCGCGUGAGUGAAGAAGGCCUUCGGGUUGUAAAGCUCUUUUGUCAGGGAAGAAACGGCUGUGGCUAAUAUCCACGGCUAAUGACGGUACCUGAAGAAUAAGCACCGGCUAACUACGUGCCAGCCGCCGCGGUAAGAC
rnacentral:rRNA from 1 species